rnacentral:tRNA from 1 species
GUCCCUGUAGCGCAAUGGAUAGCACGUUGGACUCCUAAUCCAAAGGUCAUGGGUAUGAAUCCCACCUGGGAUG